AGAGUUGUGGCUCAGUGGUAGAGUGCUUGUCUGGCAUGUGUGAGGCCCUGGGUUCGAUCCUCAGCACCACAU
rnacentral:tRNA from 1 species